UGACCCCAGCCUAGGAUAUAACACCCGUUGAGUUUAAGAAUAUAAUUAAGUGGAGGAAAAGAUACUUAAAAGGAUUCACCUAGUUACGACGAGUGAACCGGGAACAGCCUAGCAUGAAAAUCGGGUGGUAGUGCCACCUGAAUUGUAGUCUGUAUAAGCGUCCUUAGCGACGGAUUGGGCCCAAGUCCCCUAGAAGGGGGCACCUAAGAGGGUGACAGACCCAUUGGGCCGGGAGCCUGCCACACCACGAGACGUUGUCGGUGAGUUGGGUUGUUUGGGAAUGCAUCCCUAAUCAGGUCGUAAAUUCUGUCCAAGGAUAAAUAUGGGUGAGAGAUCGAUAGAGAACAAGUAACACGAGGGAAAGAUGAAAGGGACUUUGAAAAUAGAGUUAAAGAGUUCUUGAAAUUUUCGGUAGGGAAGUGGAUGGAGGGCGACGAUGUGUCUCGGUCAGAUGCAGAAUGGCUUAAGCUGGUCCGCCGCUCCACUCGAGGUGUGAAACAACACAAGCUGUUGCAUUGACACAUGCAUGGGUGGAGUAUUGGCUGUUGGUUUUCCAUUGUGGCGGUCGAGGAGAGAAUAAAUGAAGGGAUUCCACCAACACUCAUUUAAAUUUAUUUUUAAUCGCUUUCCAAUACUUCUUUUAGUUUGUUGAUAUUGAGCUCGCACAUGAGGUAGUUUAUAUCUAUGAGGAUUUAGGAUCAAUUUUUAAAGCGUGAAUUUGAUGUGUAAAUAUUUAUGAAGGUAUUAGAUCCCUUAAUGACUCCUUAAUACUAUUGACGAGUUGAAUAAGUUUUGAAAUCACCAAGAAACCAUGCAGAAAACUCAAUGUUGCAUAGAAUAAGAGUUUAAUUUUUUUUAUGAGUUUAAAAGUUAGUAAUUGAACCUUCAUCAUUGAAGUAAGAAAACAAGGUGUCAAUGUUUUUGUAUAUUUGGAUAAUUUAGCCAA
rfam:Picea glauca, whole genome shotgun sequence.